rnacentral:tRNA from 1 species
AUACUUGUAGCGCAAUGGAUGGCGCGUUGGGCAUCUAAUCCAAAGGUUGUGGUUUUGAAUCCCACCUGGGAUA